rnacentral:rRNA from 1 species
AUGCAUCCUCCUCCAAAGCCGCUGCUCCUCCUCGCGGUGCUGCUCGCCGCCUCACCGCAUGCGCUGGCGGAGCAGCCACCGGCGGCAGCCGCCUGCCCGCCGCAGGAGCGGGACGCGCUGCUGGCCUUCAAGCAAGGGAUCACCAUCAGCAGCGACGCCGCCGGCCUCCUCGCCUCAUGGCGCGAAGACGACUGCUGCCGGUGGAGGGGCGUCCGGUGCAGCAACCGGACCGGCCAUGUCGUCGCGCUCAACCUUCGAGGCCAGGGACUAGCCGGCGAGAUAAGUCCAUCCUUGCUCUCCCUGCCGCACCUGGAGCAUCUUGAUCUCAGCUCCAACCGCCUCGUGGGCCCGGCUGGCAGUAUUCCCGAAUUUCUGGGUUCCAUGGGAAACCUGAGAUAUCUCGACCUAUCCGGAGCGCCGUAUUCUGGGGAAGCGCCGUUUUCUGGCCAAGUGCCUCCCCACCUUGGCAACCUCUCCAAGCUGCAACAUCUUGACCUCUCAAGCAAUAGAAAUGUGUCCUCCAACGAUCUUUCCUGGUUAACACGUCUGCCAUUCCUAAGGUUUCUCGGCCUGAAUUUCGUGGACCUGAGUAUGGCGGCUGAUUGGGCUCAUGCGGUGAACGCCCUUCCUUUGAGGUCCCUUCAUCUUGAAGAUUGCUCGCUCACAAGUGCGAACCAAUCACUCCCACACUCAAACCUUACCACGACUCUUGAGGUGCUCGACCUUGCUCUCAACAACUUUGACCAGCCAGUCGCGUCUUGUUGGUUCUGGAACCUAACAAGACUCAAGCGGCUCUACCUUGAAGUUAACAACGGCGCCCUGUAUGGUCCGCUUCCUGAUGCAUUGGGGGGUAUGGUACGCUUGCAAGAACUAUCCUUCGGAGAGAGUGGCAGCCACAUGAUGAGCAUGGGCUCGGCAGACUUGAAGAACCUAUGCAACUUGAAGUUCCUAGACCUUGACUUUUGUUUCUCAAAUGGAUUUGAAGCGGAGAGGCUCCCGCAAUGUUCCUCGGACAAAUUGCAGGAAUUGCACCUGAUGGGAAACCAAUUGACAGGAACUCUAGCGGAUUGGAUGGGACACCGCACCAGCUUAGUCAUUCUUGAUCUCAGUUCAAACAACAUUACUGGGCCUAUACCGGAAUCUAUAGGGCGGUUUACAGAUUUGAGGGUUCUAGACCUUUGGAACAACAACCUGACUGGACAUGUGCCACCUGCAAUCGGUACUCUCACUAAUUUGGCUAGCUUGGUUCUUGGUCAGAAUCACUUGGAUGGUCUGAUUACAGAAGGACACUUUCAUGGUCUAAAAAGCUUAGAGCAAAUAUAUUUAUCUGACAAUCAACUGGAGAUUGUGGUGGGUUCAGAAUGGGUUCCUCCCUUCAGACUGCAAGAGGCCAGUUUUGCAUCUUGCCAGAUAGGUCAUCUGUUUCCUGCAUGGCUUAAGUGGCAAGUGGGUCUUACUCGCCUUGACAUCUCAAGCACAGGAAUAACAGAUAGGUUUCCAGAUUGGUUCUCCAGUUCCUUCUCAAAGAUCACAUACUUGGAUAUCUCCAAUAACCGAAUAAGUGGUGCCUUGCCAAAAAAUAUGGGUAACAUGUCAUUGGUAUCACUAUAUUCUAGUUCGAACAAUAUAUCUGGUAGAAUACCUCAAUUGCCCAGAAAUCUAGAGAUAUUGGACAUAUCAAGAAACUCUUUAUCAGGACCCCUGCCAUCAGAUUUUGGGGCUCCAAAACUAAGUACAAUAAGUCUAUUCUCCAAUUACAUCACAGGUCAAAUUCCAGUGUUUGUAUGCGAACUGUACUUGUAUUCCUUGGAUUUAGCCAACAAUAUUCUCGAAGGAGAACUUCCUCAAUGUUUCAGCACAAAACACAUGACAUUUCUAUUGCUAAGUAACAAUAGUUUCUCUGGCAAUUUUCCACCGUUUCUAGAAAACUGCACAGCGCUAUCCUUUUUGGAUCUGGCAAGGAACAGAUUCUCUGGAACAUUGCCAAUGUGGAUUGGGAACUUGGGGAAACUACAGUUUCUACGGCUGAGCAACAACAUGUUCCACGGGCAUAUUCCGGAUAAUAUCACAAGUCUCAGCAAACUUUAUCAUUUGAAUCUGGCGGCCAAUGGGAUAUCAGGUUCCAUACCUCAUCAUCUAUCAAAUCUAACAAUGAUGACAACACCAUAUGUACACGUUCCUGGCACCGUCGUUGCAGAUUUCCAAAUUAUGGUUGGUGAUAUGCCAGUAGUCUUCAAGAGGCAAGAACUUAAAUACAGAGGUGUUGGUGUUUUGGAGAUAUUGAGCAUUGACUUCUCUUGCAACUAUUUAACCGGUAAAAUUCCAGAGGAAAUAACGUCUCUUGGUGGAUUGAUAAACCUGAACUUGUCAUGGAAUCAACUGAAUGGAGGGUUACCUAAGAAGAUUGGGGACAUGCAGACGUUGGAGUCACUUGACUUCUCGAACAAUGAUAUUUCAGGAGAAAUUCCGUCAAGCUUGUCGAAUCUAACAUACUUGAGCAUUCUGGACCUGUCAUAUAAUCAUCUAGCAGGAAUAAUACCAUCAGGAGUUCAACUUGACACUCUUUACACGGAGUAUCCAUCCAUAUACAAUGGCAACCCUGGCCUUUGUGGUCCCAUCCUUCAUAAAAGUUGCUCAGUCAACAAUAAUGCACCACAGCCUGACCAUCAACAGAGUGGAAAAGUUUCGGAGUCGACAUUGUUCUUUUACUUUGGACUUGGGUCAGGGUUUAUGGCUGGCCUCUGGGUUGUGUUUUGUGCUCUGCUCUUCAAGAAAGCAUGGAGGAUUGCUUAUUUCUGCUUCUUUGACAAGGUGCAUGACAAAGCCUAUGUGUUCAUAGUUGUCACUUGGGGCAGGUUUGCCAGGAAAAGGUAA